rnacentral:rRNA from 1 species
UAGGGAAUCUUCGGCAAUGGACGGAAGUCUGACCGAGCAACGCCGCGUGAGUGAAGAAGGUUUUCGGAUCGUAAAGCUCUGUUGUAAGAGAAGAACGAGUGUGAGAGUGGAAAGUUCACACUGUGACGGUAUCUUACCAGAAAGGGACGGCUAACUACGUGCCAGCAGCCGCGGUAAUACGUAGGUCCCGAGCGUUGUCCGGAUUUAUUGGGCGUAAAGCGAGCGCAGGCGGUUAGAUAAGUCUGAAGUUAAAGGCUGUGGCUUAACCAUAGUAGGCUUUGGAAACUGUUUAACUUGAGUGCAAGAGGGGAGAGUGGAAUUCCAUGUGUAGCGGUGAAAUGCGUAGAUAUAUGGAGGAACACCGGUGGCGAAAGCGGCUCUCUGGCUUGUAACUGAUGCUGAGGCUCGAAAGCGUGGGGAGCAAACAGGAUUAGAUACCCUGGUAGUCCACGCUGUAAACGAUGAGUGCUAGGUGUUAGACCCUUUCCGGGGUUUAGUGCCGUAGCUAACGCAUUAACACUCCGCCUGGGGAGUACGACCGCAAGGUUG